AUUGAACGCUGGCGGCAGGCCUAACACAUGCAAGUCGAACGAGUGGCGGACGGGUGAGUAAUGUCUGGGAAACUGCCUGAUGGAGGGGGAUAACUACUGGAAACGGUAGCUACUACCGCAUACCAUCGGAUGUGCCCAGAUGGGAUUAGCUAGUAGGUGGGGUAAAGGGUCACCUAGGCGACGAUCCCUAGCUGGUCUGCGAGGAUGACCAGCCACACUGGAACUGGGGCACGGUCCAGACUCCUACGGGAGGGAGAAGUGGGGAAUAUUGCACAAUGGGCGGAAGCCUGGUGCAAGCAUGCCGCGUGUAGGAAGAAGGCCUUCGGGUUGUAAAGUACUUUCAGCUGGGAGACGUUUCCCGCAGAAGAAGCACCGGCUAACUCCGUGCCAGCAGCCGCGGUAAUUCC
rnacentral:rRNA from 1 species